rnacentral:lncRNA from 1 species
CAAAUAGUAAGCAUAGGUAAAUCUUGUGGUUGAUAAUUUAACUUGCUAUGCCUUGUUUUCAUCGGUUCACAAUGUUUUCCUUCUAAAACCCUCGUCACGGAAUUGCUAAAGACGAUACUUGCUGUAUAGAAAUUAAACCCCUUCAACAGGAUCAGAGAUCCUCUGCAAAUCCGAUGACACCCAAAAAACUUCUUAUUGUUGAUCACAAUUCCAAGCCCAAAACCAAACUCGGUCCACCCGCCACACCGCCGAAUUCCGCCCCAUCUUCAUCAACCACCACUCCACCGUCCGAUAAGAGGACCCGGGAUCUUCCAAAUUUAUCCGAUUGUCAUUGCUGUGGGAUCCGAAUCAAUCACAGCAACCCGAAAGAUCAGCUGCAACCAUUGGACAGCGUCUGGCGCAUUGUUCUUCUGUGUAGAAAAUGCAGCAAGAAAGUUCAAUCAGGCCAAACGUGCUCUUACUGCUUCAGAGAAACGGAGAAUUCAGGUAUUAUUGUUGAAUGUCGUGAUUGUGGUCGCCGGAUUCACCUAGAUUGUGUUAAGAAUUAUGGGGAUUGCAGGCCGUGGUGUUAUUUGGGGCUAGGUUUAGGGUUUAGGGUCUGUGUGGAUUGUUGGGUUCCGGAUUUGCUAAAGAAUUCCGUCAGGAUCCAUAGGAGGAGUGAUAAUAAGGAUGUGGUGAAAUCUUGUGCAACUGACGGGGAUUUGAAAAACUGUCGGCAGAAGGGGAAGAAGGUGGAAUGUGAGGUGGAGAAGAGGGUGAAGAUGGUAGCCGUUGAAAAGAAGGCUUCGAGGAAGUCUGUGGUGGCGAAGAAUGCAUUGGAGUUGGCAGAAACUGUUUUGGAUAUGGCAGAUAAGAAUGGGAAAAAGGGUGAUGAUAUUAGUAGCGAUGCAAUUGAGGUUGUCGAUGAUGUGGAAUUUGCAAUUCAAUUGCAUCGUGCAAUGAAUAGUUCACCAAGGAUUUUGAGGAAUAAAUGCGAUGGGAGAUCAAGUUGUUUUGAGAUUCUGAAGAGUAGGAAUUCUGAUAGUUUGUUGUCUAGAAAGUCGGGUUUAGGAAGGAAUGAAUGUGAAGGUAAGAAUCCCGACAUGUAUAUAAAUGUUAUGGAGAAUGAAAUACUUAUCGGGACUAGCGAGGACGAUUCUUGCCUUCAUGCAGAUAAAUUGAAACAGGGACUAUUAACUUACAAGCGGGACAGGAAGAGGAAAUUAUGGCAAGUAGAUGAUGGCAACGACGUGGUCUCUGAAUCUAAUUGUAGUCAGCAAGUUGAUUCAAAGGACGAGUUUCAUUUCAAUGGCUCUAACUCUGGGUGUCAGGUGAGAUUCAAUGGUGUUAUCUACAAGCGGGACAAAAAGAGGAAGUUAUGGCUUGUAGAUUAUGACAAUGCCAUGGCCUCUGAAUCUAUAUUUAAUCAGCAAGAUGAUUUAAAGUUCAGUUUACAUUCAAAUGGUGCUAAGUCUGGGUCUCCAUUGAAAAGUAAUGGUGAUAUUUACAAGAGGGAUAAAAAUAGGAAGUUAUGGCAAGUAGAAGAUAAUAGCAUCAUGGUUUCUAAAUCUAAGUUUAAACAGGAAGAUUUAGAGUGUCCUUUGAACCCCAGUGAUGCAAUAGAAAGAUUUAGGCAAGAGCCCAUAAUUUACAAGCGGACUAGGUUCAAGUUGAAGGCAUGCCAAGAAAAUGGCAAGGUACUUGUAUUUGGGGAAUGCAAUUCUGGUUUUUACAACAGAGUGGCCUUGGAACUUCAGUAUCAUCAGCAAGAUGAUUUGAAACAUGAGUUGCCUUCGGGGGACAGCAGUGAUAGUUUUGCAGUAAAAUGUGUUGAGAUAACUUUGCCAGAUGGAAGUUGUCGAGAGGAGCCUGACCGCUAUUUUUUCAAGUAUGGUUCGAGGCGAAUAGGUGCCAAAUCAGGCUCAAUUUGUGAAACCGAGCUGCAUUCUGAUGCAUCUCCUAAUGAAAAUCAGGUCUCCGUUGCUUCUUUGUCAAUAGAAAGGCUAGUUGGCUAGUGAAGUGUGAUGACAAAGUGAUUUUGUCAGAUGGAAGCUUAUACAAAGAGCCGGAUCGCUAUUUUUAAAAGUAUGGCCGGAGGGUGACAGGUUUGAAAUCUGGCUCAUAUUGUGAAACCAACCUGCAUUUUGAUGAUUCACAGAAACAAAAUCUGUCCUCUGCUCCUGGAUUGACUAUGAAUUGUUCUUCAAAAUCUAAGACGCGGUCUAAUGUUUCAUUUAAUUUCUAUCCUGUUAAUUUGCAAGCAUCUACUUCUGUAAGUGGUCAAUCUGUAGAAGAGCCCUUGAUAAAACAGGUAUAAUAGUUGUUUGUGACUCCUAAUUUUUUUUUUUUUUUUUUUUUUUACUCAUGAAAUUCCCAAAUAUCUGCUGUUUUAGUAGUGGAACGUGUUUCAUAUGUCAUACAAAGAGCUGGAUCGCUAUUUUUAAAAGUAUGGCCGAGGGUGACAGGUUAGAAUUCUGGCUCAAAUUGUGAAACCAACCUGUAUUUUGAUGCUUCGCAGAAAGAAAAUCUUUCUUCUGCUCCUGGAUUGACUGUGAAUUGUUCUUCAAAAUCUAGGACGCUGUCUAAUGUUUCAUUUAAUUUCUGUCCUGUUAAUUUGCAAGCAUCUACUUAUGUAAGUGGUCAAUCUGUAGAAGAGCCCUAGAUAAAACAGGUACAAAAGUUGUUUGUGACUCCUAAUUUUUCUUUUACUAAUGAAAUUCAAUGUUUAUAGGUGCCCCAAAUAUCUGCUGUGUUAGUAGUGGAAUGUGUUUGCAAAUGGCAUCCUCCUCCUUGAAACAAGAAUUCUUUCAAGCAAUGUGUGCAAAAAGGCUAAAUAGGAUAUUAAGAUAUAGGCUAGACAUAAGGCUCAAGGUCUUUGAGGUGCCAGUACCAACAUAAAUAGACAGAACAGUACAAUACAAAAAAUAAACCACAAUAAGAAAACUUGGCCAAUUUUAUGAAGUUUAAAACAUUAACUAAUUAUUAUAGUUACCCAAUUUAGAGUGAAUGUUCAUUGACCAAGUCGCCAGAAAGUAAAAGGAAAAACACCAGCCAGUAGGAAACAACUAAAAGAGCACAACAAAAUAAAAACUAAAAGAAGUGACAUGGUAUCCCAAAGCUGGUAUAGUAUUAGGUUUGGACGUAGAAGUAUUUUUGUUUCCUUUGACUUCAAAAGAAAAGAAAAACCUAGAGGAAAUGAAAAUAAAAAUAUGGAGACAGUAGCGAAGGAUAUAUGAGAUAACAUGUCAUCGGUCUGGUAUCAUUGGUGGCCUGCUGACAAUCAUCUGCUAUAGAAAAGCUGCAUCGUUACUUAUGGACAGGGAUCACAUUAAGUUGAAGAUGUAGGCACAGUGUCCUUUUCACUUACUCACUUCCCUAACCUCCAAUGCUUCAUUAUUAUUAUUUUUUUAAAAUUUUUUUAAAUUUUUUUUAAGGGUUUCUAUGUGUUCAAAACAACCCAAAAACCCAUAAAUGUUCUGGCCAAAAGACUAAAGCGAAAACUGAGAUCAGUAAAAAAAAGGCUGUAAUAGAGCAAGCCUGACAAGGUGCAUGCCCAAGCCACCCUGAGGCACGUGCCUCAAUUAGUCAAGGCUUAAGCCUUGACUGAUGGCACUCAAAGUGUAUGAUUUGAGGUCCCCCAAUAAGCGUGUCGCGUAGAGGCAGACCUCAAGAUGUGUACCAUGGGCAGAUUUUUUCAAGACUGCUUGCAUGAAUUGCCUUUUCCUAUAAGACUUUCUAAUGCAAUGUUUUUUAGUUAACAUCAUUAUGAAUUAGUCCAUUGGCAUGAAAUGGAGGCUUUUGAAAAAUACUUCUUUCAUAUGUAAAAUAGGAAUGUGGUUGGUUGGUUGUCUUGUCAUUUGAAGAGUGUCUACCAUUGGUCAUAGAUCAACUAUUUUAUUUAGAUAUCAUGGCUUGUAGAAUGCUAAAUAUGAGAAAUUGGCAUUAGAGUGUUUGCUGAUUCCUGAGAACCACUUCACUAGUUCUAUUUAUUGCCGUUACCAUAUCAAUUUGACAUCUGCAUCAAUUUUUCUACCUCAUUCACUUGACCUUUAAAUGGCACUGUGGUUAACAAUCCAAUCUUCAUUAUUAUGCCUAUUCACAUGAUUCCAUAGUUACUUUCUCUCCCUGUAGUUGCCUGGGACCUGGAACAAGUCAUUCCCCUUUCACAGCUGUUCCUUCUUACUAUCUAAAGCUGUGAUUCUCUUAAAAACAGUCACAGAGGCCUUAAUUGUGUUGUUAAGAAUUGAAGUCUACAAGUCUGAUUUAGUUCUGCUGUUUUCUACUUCUAUUUAAACAUGAGACUUGGCAAAUUGAUUGUGCAUUGUUGCAUAUAUUUUGUCCUUGAUUGACGUCUGUACCUAACUCGGUGUUCAUUUGUGCUGGUAUUUCAGUGCAAGUCAUCUUGCUGGCUUGUUAGUGGAUUACUACACAAGUUAUCAAUUUCUAUGCUUGCAUUUUUCUUAGUAAAUCUUGCAAUAUUUUUCUUCCAUGUUUUGCAGUCUAUUCUAAACCUUACCAGGUUGGUGGCAAGAAAUUUUGAAUUGUUAUUUAUUUCAUUAACUAUUCAGGGGAAUAUGUGAAGGUAGCGAGAGUUAAAAAACCGGCGUUCUUUCAUGUUGUAAAAUGAUAAAAUAUACAUUGUUCUCUUGUGUGUUUCGAUAGAUAUCCUAUUCUUUCUGAACAUCUAAUAUCUUGAAAUAUUUUAUCUGUACAAGUUGACAUUGCUUAUAGAAAACGAUUUCAAAAUUAUUCUUUCUGGCUCGCUGUUUCUGAUGGCUAUUCUUCAUUCUUUAAUAUGGUGUAUACUUGUUGGAUACAAAGCGUUAAGACAGUUAUUGUCACUUCUGCUCAAUUCAGAUUAAUGGAUGCUAGAGGAAAAAUGUUACAUGAGAUUUUACCUAGACAUGAUAACUUAAUUUGUGCUAUGAUAUGGAACAGGUAAAUGGUCUAACAAUAUGUUGGUUACUGGGUUAUUCCACUUAUAUAUCAAGAAAUGUACAUCACGGUGUCCACUCCCUCACAUAGAGGGGGGGCCCAUUCCAUGUGAGGAGGUGGACACCUUGAUGUACAUCUUCCUUAAUGUUUCAAAAUGGACUGGUGAAAAAAGAUUGGAUAUAUAUGGGUAGCACUGUAGAGC